rnacentral:lncRNA from 1 species
AAAAACAUAUUUUCGACCACUUUCGUAGAGCAAUAAAUAAUAUACUCUUUUUUCCUUCUCAAAUUGUGUGGCGUAAUUUUUAAAAAUAUCUAUCUUAAAUUAUUUAUCAAUUUGUAUUCUUAAAAAAAGAGCAACUCGUAUGCAACUUUACCUUAUAUUUCUACCACUAUAGUGCCCCUUAUAUACAGGAUUCGAAAAAGGGCUCCACCACUAUAGUGCCAGUAAUGUAUAGGCC